rnacentral:tRNA from 21 species
GCCCCUCUGGCCCAACUGGCAGAGGCGUCGGCUUCAGGUGCCGAAGGUUCCCGGUUCGAAUCCGGGGAGGGGUACAA